rnacentral:rRNA from 1 species
GGGGAAUAUUGGACAAUGGGGGAAACCCUGAUCCAGGUAUACCGCGUGAGUGAUGAAGGCCUUCGGGUUGUAAAGCUCUUUUAGUGGGGAAGAUUUUGACGGUACCCACAGAAAAAGCACCGGCUAACUCUGUGCCAGCAGCCGCGGUAAGACAGAGGGUGCUAGCGUUAUUCGGAAUUACUGGGCGUAAAGGGCGCGUAGGCGGUUUUGCAAGUCGUUCAUUAAAGACCAAGUCUCAAGCUUGGAAGUGUGUUCGAUACUGCAUUACUGGAGUAUAGGAGAGGUAAGUGGAAUUUCUAGUGGAGAGGUAAAAUUCGUAGAUAUUAGAAGGAACACCGAGGGCGAAGGCAGCUUACUGGAAUAUUACUGACGCUGAGGCGCGAAAGCGUGGGGAGCAAAC